GGAUUUUCGGGGGGGGGGGGGGGCGGGGGAGAAAGAAAAAAGCAGCUGUUAAAACAGUUGUUGUGCACCAGGGGAAGGGCCCUGCCUUCCUUCCACGCUGCCAAACUCCGUAAACAGUUGUCAUUUUCUUUCACUCGGUGUGGCCCUGCCAGUGGCUGAGUCCCCUGGUUUGGGGGGACGGAGGUGUCGGGCCAACUUCAACUUUUAGUUCGAAUCGAGAACAAGAAAUGAUCCACAAUCAUCCCAAGUGCAUGGACAUGAAGUCAUGUACCUAGAAGACACGACCACCCCGUAGCCACCAACAAGCCCCUCCAGACGCAAAGACAAAUCCUCCUCUGGCUUCCUCUGAAUGAGCUGGGUCUGUUUAAGUCACAUAGGAUCCAUUCACCACAACCCUAAGCAGGCUGAUGCUGCAAUCAUAUGGAUGUCAGAAAGCUUAAGCAGCCAGAAUGGCUACUUCGUGUCUUGCCUGGAAACAUGACAGCGCUACUGACUUCAAAAGAUCGAUUUUUGUGCUGAAGGAACAUGCAGAAAGGGGCUUUCGAUGUAAAGACAGAAGAUUCUGCAUUUCCCAAGAAAAGGAAUUCCUGAAUUCCAAACCCGAGGCAGCAACCUGUUCAGAGGAAGUGUGUGGGUCUCUCACAGACUGUGUUAAUCGAACCGUUAGAGUCUUUGUAAGUCAUCAAUAAGUGCAGAUAAAGACACCCACCCCUGUAAAAGUUACAAACGUCCCAUUUAUAUUUUCAGAACGUCAGCUACCGUGGGUCUUGUUUCCCUUCCCUCCUGGUGGACGAGAGUUUAAGUGCUGUAAUCAUAGCAACUGUGGGCAAACCAAGGAGGUUAGAAAGGAGCCGCUCUAGGAAACAGAAGUACAAAGGAGAAGGCACACCCACUCCCGGGCAUAUUAAUCCAGACGGACUCAAAUAAUGAAACAGAGACCAAAAAGGAGCUUUGCCAAUCCUGUGCUAGGCUGCUGGCUUGGUCACAAGGAAGCUUCUGCAGCUUAGGGUACGACGGGGCCAGGUGUUCUAGGGAGCUUAAUUAAAAUGCAUUGUGACAGAACCAGAGUUGAAGUUUGAGAACGAACACGGCCGGCCAAACUUGAAUCGUUCCGAACAUUCAAACAGCUGAACUGUCACACAUAGCCCGGUGGAAUAAAGUGGCCAACCACCAGGUCA
rnacentral:lncRNA from 1 species